GCCUACGGGACGCAGCAGUGGGGAAUAUUGCGCAAUGGGGGAAACCCUGACGCAGCAACGCCGCGUGAGUGAAGACGUAUCUCGGUAUGUAAAGCUCUAUCAGCGGGGAAGAAGGAAGACGGUACCCGACUAAGAAGCCCCGGCUAACUACGUGCCAGCAGCCGCGGUAAUACGUAGGGGGCGAGCGUUAUCCGGAUUUACUGGGUGUAAAGGGUGCGCAGGCGGUUGAGUAA
rnacentral:rRNA from 1 species